rnacentral:rRNA from 1 species
UACGUAGGGGGCAAGCGUUAUCCGGAAUUACUGGGUGUAAAGGGAGCGUAGGCCGGUCUUUAAGCGUGCCGUGAAAUUUUGUGGCUCAACCAUGAGAGUGCGGCGCGAACUGGAGACCUUGAGUGCGCGGAAGGCAGGCGGAAUUCGUGGUGUAGCGGUGAAAUGCAUAGAUAUCACGCAGAACCCCGAUUGCGAAGGCAGCAUACCGGUGCACAACUGACGCUCAGGCACGAAAGCGUGGGUAUCGAACAGG